rfam:Bacillus smithii strain DSM 4216, complete genome.
AAAUAAUUUGUCGCAUUACGUCGUAUAAUUACGGGGAUAUGGCCCGGAAGUCUCUACCAAGCUGCCGUAAAUAGCUUGACUACGAGGUAAUGGAAUGUAAAC